rnacentral:rRNA from 1 species
AUUGAACGCUGGCGGCAUGCCUUACACAUGCAAGUCGAACGGCAGCACGGGAGCUUGCUCCUGGUGGCGAGUGGCGAACGGGUGAGUAAUACAUCGGAACGUACCCUGAAGUGGGGGAUAACGUAGCGAAAGUUACGCUAAUACCGCAUAUUCUGUGAGCAGGAAAGAGGGGGAUCGCAAGACCUCUUGCUUUAGGAGCGGCCGGUGUCGGAUUAGCUAGUUGGUGAGGUAAAGGCUCACCAAGGCGACGAUCCGUAGCGGGUCUGAGAGGAUGAUCCGCCACACUGGGACUGAGACACGGCCCAGACUCCUACGGGAGGCAGCAGUGGGGAAUUUUGGGACAAUGGGGGGCAACCCUGAUCCAGCCAUGCCGCGUGAGUGAAGAAGGCCUCGGGUUGGUUAAA